rnacentral:rRNA from 1 species
UGAAACUGCCGCUGUAAGGCGUGAGGAAGGAGGGGAUGAUGUCAAGUCAUCAUGGCCUUUAUGCCCAGGGCUACACACGUGCUACAAUGGCGAGUACAAAGGGCAGCUACCUGGUAACAGGAUGCUAAUCUCAAAAAACUCGUCUCAGUUCGGAUUGGGGUCUGCAACUCGACCCCAUGAAGCUGGAAUCGCUAGUAAUCGUAUAUCAGCAAUGAUACGGUGAAUACGUUCCCGGACCUUGUACACACCGCCCGUCAAGCCAUGGAAGCUGGGUGUACCUAAAGUCGGUAACCGCAAGGAGCCGCCUGGGGUAAAACUAGUAACUGGGGCUAAGUCGUAAUUAGGUAA